rnacentral:rRNA from 1 species
AGUGAACGCUGGCGGUAGGCCUAACACAUGCAAGUCGAACGGCAGCACAGGAGAGCUUGCUCUCUGGGUGGCGAGUGGCGGACGGGUGAGGAAUACAUCGGAAUCUACUUUUUCGUGGGGGAUAACGUAGGGAAACUUACGCUAAUACCGCAUACGACCUACGGGUGAAAGCAGGGGAUCUUCGGACCUUGCGCGAUUGAAUGAGCCGAUGUCGGAUUAGCUAGUUGGCGGGGCAAAGGCCCACCAAGGCGACGAUCCGUAGCUGGUCUGAGAGGAUGAUCAGCCACACCGGAACUGAGACACGGUCCAGACUCCUACGGGAGGCAGCAGUGGGGAAUAUUGGACAAUGGGCGCAAGCCUGAUCCAGCCAUACCGCGUGGGUGAAGAAGGCCUUCGGGUUGUAAAGCCCUUUUGUUGGGAAGGAAAUCCAGCUGGUUAAUACCCGGUUGGGAUGACGGUACCCAAAGAAUAAGCACCGGCUAACUUCGUGCCAGCCGCCGCGGUAA